rnacentral:rRNA from 1 species
UACGAAGGGGGCUAGCGUUGUUCGGAAUUACUGGGCGUAAAGCGCACGUAGGCGGAUACUUAAGUCGGGGGUGAAAUCCCAGGGCUCAACCCCGGAACUGCCUUUGAUACUGGGUAUCUCGAGUCCGGAAGAGGAGAGUGGAAUUCCCGGUGUAGCGGUGAAAUGCGCAGAUAUCGGGAAGAACACCCGUGGCGAAGGCGGCUCGCUGGGACGGUACUGACGCUGAGACGCGAAAGCGUGGGGAGCGAACAGG